rnacentral:rRNA from 1 species
AGUGAACGCUGGCGGCAGGCCUAAUACAUGCAAGUCGAACGGCAGCACAGUGGAGCUUGCUCCAUGGGUGGCGAGUGGCGGACGGGUGAGGAAUACAUGGGAAUCUGCCCAGUCGUGGGGGAUAACGUAGGGAAACUUACGCUAAUACCGCAUGCGCCCUUCGGGGGAAAGCCGGGGACCUUCGGGCCUGGCGCGAUUGGAUGAGCCCAUGUUCGAUAGCUAGUUGGCGGGGUAAAGGCCCACCAAGGCGACGAUCGAUAGCUGGUCUGAGAGGAUGAUCAGCCACACUGGGACUGAGACACGGCCCAGACUCCUACGGGAGGCAGCAGUAGGGAAUAUUGGACAAUGGGCGCAAGCCUGAUCCAGCCAUGCCGCGUGAGUGAAGAAGGCCCUCGGGUUGUAAAGCUCUUUUGUCCGGGAAGAAAAGCAUCGGGCUAAUACCUCGGUGUUCUGACGGUACCGGAAGAAUAAGCACCGGCUAACUUCGUG